rnacentral:rRNA from 1 species
CCUACGGGAGGCAGCAGUGAGGAAUAUUGGUCAAUGGGCGAGAGCCUGAACCAGCCAAGUCGCGUGAGGGAGUACUGCCCUAUGGGUUGUAAACCUCUUUUGUCGGAGAACAAAACCCGGGACGUGUCCCGGACUGCGUGUAUCCGAAGAAAAAGCAUCGGCGAACUCCGUGCCAGCAGCCGCGGUAAUACGGAGGAUGCGAGCGUUAUCCGGAUUUAUUGGGGUUAAAGGGUGCGUAGGCGGGCCUGUAAGUCAGCGGUAAAAUUGCGGGGCUCAACCCCGUAGAGCCGUUGAAACUGGCGGACGUGAGUUGGCGAGAAGUACGCGGAAUGCGCGGUGUAGCGGUGAAAUGCAUAGAUAUCGCGCAGAACUCCGAUUGCGAAGGCAGCGUACCGGCGCCAGACUGACGCUGAGGCACGAAAGCGUGGGGAUCGAACAGGAUUAGAUACCCCAGUAGUC